rnacentral:lncRNA from 10 species
GUCAUUCCAAAGAGAGCUAUUCAUCCCACACCUUACUCUUCCCCCACUGUUUUCUUUUCAGGCUAAAUCUCCUCAGUUCAUCCCCUCGUUGAUCACAGAACACACUUCUAGAUGUCUCUGGGCUCCUUUGGAUGUCUUCUGAUUUGUCAACAUGAGCUAUGACCUGGCCUCUUUCUUCUCUCUGCAAUGAACUAGGAGGGGAAAUAGGAUCUGUGAGAUGCAGUUUCCUGCUGAGGAAUCUCUCUUCUCUUCCUGAGCCCCACCCCUCUGUAAGUAGUCAGAGACUCAAAGAAGACUUAAGAAGAUCCACGAAGAUUAAGGCAGAGCCUCAAGAAAGUCACAAUCUAAAGGAAGAAUGGCGUGACUGUUGACUUCUGAAUCAGAUGUGAGCUGUACCAUCCUGCUUUCCCAUGGACAGAAACAGUCUGCUCUCUGGCUUCACCUUCUGAAGGCUGCAAUAGAGGAAGGUAAUAAUGAGUCUCUUUUCUGUACCUGCCUCCCUACUCUCUUCCUCCAUCUUUUACCUUCUCCAGCCUCAUCCAUACAUGAAUGCCUGUAACCAAGACAGCAGCUGCCUGAGUGCAUCCAAUUUCUCCAGCUUUUUGGGACCAC